CCUACGGGUGGCAGCAGUGAGGAAUAUUGGUCAAUGGACGAGAGUCUGAACCAGCCAAGUAGCGUGAAGGAUGACUGCCCUAUGGGUUGUAAACUUCUUUUAUAUGGGAAUAACAUGUUCCACGUGUGGGGUUUUGUAUGUACCAUAUGAAUAAGGAUCGGCUAACUCCGUGCCAGCAGCCGCGGUAAUACGGAGGAUCCGAGCGUUAUCCGGAUUUAUUGGGUUUAAAGGGAGCGUAGGUGGAUGGUUAAGUCAGUUGUGAAAGUUUGCGGCUCAACCGUAAAACUGCAGUUGAAACUGGCAGUCUUGAGUACAGUAGAGGUGGGCGGAAUUCGUGGUGUAGCGGUGAAAUGCUUAGAUAUCACGAAGAACUCCGAUUGCGAAGGCAGCCUACUAAGCUGCCACUGACAUUGAUGCUCGAAAGUGUGGGUAUCAAACAGGAUUAGAUACCCGUGUAGUC
rnacentral:rRNA from 1 species